rnacentral:tRNA from 1 species
CGCUAUAUAGUUUAUUUAAAACAGUAUAUUUUCAAUAUACAGAAAGCAGUGUACUUAUAACGG